GGGGAAUAUUGGACAAUGGGCGCAAGCCUGAUCCAGCCAUGCCGCGUGAGUGAUGAAGGCCUUAGGGUUGUAAAGCUCUUUCACCGAUGAAGAUAAUGACGGUAGUCGGAGAAGAAGCCCCGGCUAACUUCGUGCCAGCAGCCGCGGUAAUACGAAGGGGGCUAGCGUUGUUCGGAAUUACUGGGCGUAAAGCGCACGUAGGCGGAUCGGUCAGUUAGGGGUGAAAUCCCAGGGCUCAACCCUGGAACUGCCUUUAAUACUGCCGGUCUUGAGUUCGAGAGAGGUGAGUGGAAUUCCGAGUGUAGAGGUGAAAUUCGUAGAUAUUCGGAGGAACACCAGUGGCGAAGGCGGCUCACUGGCUCGAGACUGACGCUGAGGUGCGAGAGCGUGGGGAGCAAAC
rnacentral:rRNA from 1 species